rnacentral:rRNA from 1 species
CUGGCUCAGGAUGAACGCUAGCGGCAGGCCUAACACAUGCAAGUCGAGGGGCAGCGGGUAAGUAGCUUGCUACUUAUGCCGGCGACCGGCGGACGGGUGCGUAACGCGUAUGUAACCUACCUUUGACAGGGGGAUAACAUCGAGAAAUUGGUACUAAUACCCCAUAACAUCACCGGAGGCAUCUUCGGUGGUUGAAAACUCAGGUGGUCAGAGAUGGACAUGCGUUGUAUUAGCUAGUUGGUGAGGUAACGGCUCACCAAGGCGACGAUACAUAGGGGGACUGAGAGGUCAACCCCCCACAUUGGUACUGAGACACGGACCAAACUCCUACGGGAGGCAGCAGUGAGGAAUAUUGGUCAAUGGACGCAAGUCUGAACCAGCCAUGCCGCGUGCAGGAAGACGGCUCUAUGAGUUGUAAACUGCUUUUGUACGAGGGUAAAUCCCGAUACGUGUAUCGGGUUGAAAGUAUCGUACGAAUAAGGAUCGGCUAACUCCGUGCCAGCAGCCGCGGUAAUACGGAGGAUUCAAGCGUUAUCCGGAUUUAUUGGGUUUAAAGGGUGCGUAGGCGCUUCGAUAAGUUAGAGGUGAAAUCCCGGGGCUCAACUCCGGCACUGCCUCUGAUACUGUCGGGCUAGAGUUUAGUUGCGGUAGGCGGAAUGUAUGGUGUAGCGGUGAAAUGCAUAGAGAUCAUACAGAACACCGAUUGCGAAGGCAGCUUACCAAACUACGACUGACGUUGAGGCACGAAAGCGUGGGGAGCAAACAGGAUUAGAUACCCUGGUAGUCCACGCAGUAAACGAUGAUAACUGGUUGUCGGCGAUAAAAUGUCGGUGACUAAGCAAAAGCGAUAAGUUAUCCACCUGGGGAGUACGUUCGCAAGAAUGAAACUCAAAGGAAUUGACGGGGGCCCGCACAGGCGGAGGAACAUGUGGUUUAAUUCGAUGAUACGCGAGGAACCUUACCCGGGCUUGAAAGUUACUGACGAUUCUGGAAACAGGAUUUCCCUUCGGGGCAGGAAACUAGGUGCUGCAUGGUUGUCGUCAGCUCGUGCCGUGAGGUGUCGGGUUAAGUCCCAUAACGAGCGCAACCCCUACCGUUAGUUGCCAUCAGGUAAAGCUGGGCACUCUGGCGGGACUGCCGGUGUAAGCCGAGAGGAAGGUGGGGAUGACGUCAAAUCAGCACGGCCCUUACGUCCGGGGCUACACACGUGUUACAAUGGCAGGUACAGAGGGCAGCUACCCAGCAAUGGGAUGCGAAUCUCGAAAGCCUGUCUCAGUUCGGAUUGGAGGCUGAAACCCGCCUCCAUGAAGUUGGAUUCGCUAGUAAUCGCGCAUCAGCCAUGGCGCGGUGAAUACGUUCCCGGGCCUUGUACACACCGCCCGUCAAGCCAUGGGAGCCGGGGGUGCCUGAAGUUCGUGACCGCAAGGAGCGACCUAAGGCAAAACUGGUGACUGGGGCUAAGUCGUAACAAGGUA